UACGUAGGGAGCAAGCGUUAUCCGGAAUUAUUGGGUGUAAAGGGUGCGUAGACGGGAUAACAAGUUGGUUGUGAAACCCCUCGGCUCAACUGAGGAACUGCAACCAAAACUAUUAUUCUUGAGUGCAGGAGAGGAAGGUGGAAUUCCUAGUGUAGCGGUGAAAUGCGUAGAUAUUAGGAAGAACACCGGUGGCGAAGGCGACUUUCUGGACUGUAACUGACGUUGAGGCACGAAAGUGUGGGGAGCAAACAGG
rnacentral:rRNA from 1 species